GAAUUUUGGGCAAUGGCCGAAAGGCUGACCCAGCGACGCCGCGUGCGGGAGGACGCCCUUCGGGGUGUAAACCGCUGUCAGAGGGGACGAAAGGCCGGGGUGGGAAUACUGCCCUGGAGUGACGGUACCCUCAGAGGAAGCACCGGCUAACUCUGUGCCAGCAGCCGCGGUAAUACAGAGGGUGCGAGCGUUGUUCGGAAUCAUUGGGUUUAAAGGGUCCGUAGGCGGGACAAUAAGUCAGUGGUGAAAGUCUGCAGCUUAACUGUAGAAUUGCCGUUGAAACUGUUGUUCUUGAGUAAUUAUGAAGUGGUUAGAAUAUGUAGUGUAGCGGUGAAAUGCAUAGAUAUUACAUAGAAUACCGAUUGCGAAGGCAGAUCACUAAUAAUUCACUGACGCUGAUGGACGAAAGCGUAGGUAGCGAAC
rnacentral:rRNA from 1 species